rnacentral:rRNA from 1 species
CCACGGGCGCACGGCGGAUGCCUUGGCACAGGGAGCCGAUGAAGGACGCGGCAAGCUGCGAUAAUCCCCGGCGAGGAGCACACAUCCUUCGACCCGGGGGUCUCCGAAUGGGCGAACCCAUCCACAGCAGUGUGGAUAUCCCCACCCCGAACACAUAGGGGCGGGGAGGACAACCCGGGGAACUGAAACAUCUAAGUACCCGGAGGAGAGGAAAUCAAUCUCGAGACUCCCCGAGUAGCGGCGAGCGAAAGGGGACCGAUGGCCAAACCGUCGAGCGGGCAUACCCGGCAGGGGUUCCGCCGACGGGGUUGCAGGGCCGCGCAUCCGGGGGCUGCCGCCCCCGGGCGCAGGUCCGGCUGGGGAGCGGAACGGCAUGGGAGGGCCGGCCGCAGCGGGUGACAGCCCCGUACGCGAACCCAGACCGGACGGCGCGACGCGGUCCCUGAGUAGGGCCGGGCACGUGAAACCCGGUCCGAACCUGGGUGGACCACCAUCCAAGCCUGAGUACUACCCUGUGACCGAUAGCGCACCAGUACCGCGAGGGAAAGGUGAAAAGCACCCCGGGAGGGGAGUGAAAUAGUACCUGAAACCGUGCGCCCACGAGCAGUCGGAGCACCCUUUUAGGGUGUGACGGCGUGCCUUUUGUAGAAUGAGCCAGCGAGUCGCUGGCGCGGGGCGAGGUUAACCGAAAGGGAGCCGAAGCGAAAGCGAGCCUUAACAGGGCGACUUGAGUCCCGCGCCGCGGACGCGAAGCCGGGUGAGCUAUCCGUGGGCAGGCUGAAGCGGGGGUAAGACCCCGUGGAGGGCCGAACGCACGUCGGUUGAAAACGGCGGCGAUGACCUGCGGAUAGGGGUGAAAGGCCAAUCAAACCCGGAGAUAUCUCGUUCUCCCCGAAAUAGCUUUAGGGCUAGCGUCGCGCGUUCACCGCCGGAGGUAGAGCACCGGAUGGACGAGGGGGCUUCGCCGCCUACCGAAUCCAACCGAACUCCGAAUGCCGGCGGCCCAGAGCGCGGCAGUCAGAGCAUGUGGGCUAAGCUGUGUGCUCGAGAGGGAAACAGCCCGGACCGCCCGCUAAGGUCCCCAAGUUCCAGCCGAGUGGCAAAGGAUGUGCGUCCGCCCAGACAACCAGGAUGUUGGCUUAGAAGCAGCCAUCCAUUCAAAGAGUGCGUAACAGCUCACUGGUCGAGUGGACAUGCGCCGACAAUACACGGGGCUAAGCUGGACACCGAAGCGGCGGGAUUUUGAUUUUCAGAAUCGGUAGGGGAGCUUCCCAUGGGCGGAGAAGCCGCCGGGCGACCGGCGGUGGAGCGCAUGGGAGUGAGAAUGCUGGCAUGAGUAGCGAGAGACGAGAGAGUAACUCGUCCGCCGUGAACCCGAGGUUUCCUGGGCAAGGCUAAUCCUCCCAGGGUCAGUCGGGGGCUAAGGCGAGGCCGGUAGGCGUAGCCGACGCGCAGCAGGCAGACAUUCCUGCACCGCGCACGCGGCGCUACGACCGACGGGGCGACGGAUGGGGGUGGCUCGGCGGGGUUCUGGACGUCCCCGUGAUGGAGCGCGGCCCGCGGACCAGGGAAAUCCGGUCCGCACGAGGGCGAGGCUCCGGACGAAGCGACUGAGCGAAGCGAGUGAGCCCGAGGUCCCUAGAAAAACCCCUAGGCAGGCGCGUGCGCGCCCGUACCGCAAACCGACACAGGUGGGUGGGUAGAACAUACCGAGGCGAUCGGGUCAACCAUGGUCAAGGAACUCGGCACAAUGGCCCCGUAACUUCGGGAGAAGGGGUGCCCGCGCGUACGUGAACGGACUUGCUCCGGGAGCGGAGGCGGGCCGCAGUGGAGAGGCCCAAGCGACUGUUUACCAAAAACACAGGACUCUGCAGAAGCCGCAAGGCGACGUAUAGGGUCUGACGCCUGCCCGGUGCCGGAAGGUCACGCGGAGGAGUUAGCCAUCUCGGCGAAGCCCCGAAGCCAAGCCCCGGUAAACGGCGGCCGUAACUAUAACGGUCCUAAGGUAGCGAAAUUCCUUGUCGGGUAAGUUCCGACCUGCACGAAAGGCGCAACGACUUGGGCGCUGUCUCGACCAUGGACCCGGUGAAAUUGCACUGGUCGUGAAGAUGCGACUUACCCGCGGAAGGACGGAAAGACCCCGUGAACCUUCACUGCAGCUUGGCAUUGGCCGCUGGUCCCGCGUGUAGAGGAUAGGCAGGAGGCACAGAUCCGGAGGCGCCAGCCCCCGGGGAGCCGCCCUUGGAAUACUGCCCUCGCGCGACCGGCGUCCUAACCCGAGGCCGUCGACCGGCUCGGGGACCGUGCCAGGCGGGCAGUUUGACUGGGGCGGUCGCCUCCUAAAGGGUAACGGAGGCGCGCGAAGGUCCGCUCGGGACGGUCGGCAACCGUCCUUUUGAAUGCAAGAGUACAAGCGGGCUUGACUGCGAGGCCCACAAGCCGAGCAGGUGCGAAAGCAGGCUCUAGUGAUCCGGCGGCCCCGAGUGGGUGGGCCGUCGCUCAACGGAUAAAAGGUACUCCGGGGAUAACAGGCUGAUCUUGCCCAAGAGUCCACAUCGACGGCAAGGUUUGGCACCUCGAUGUCGGCUCAUCGCAUCCUGGGGCUGGAGCAGGUCCCAAGGGUACGGCUGUUCGCCGUUUAAAGCGGUACGCGAGCUGGGUUCAGAACGUCGUGAGACAGUUCGGUCCCUAUCCUCCGUGGGCGCAGGAGAAUCGAUGGAGGCUGCCCCCAGUACGAGAGGACCGGGGUGGACGCACCUCCGGUGAACCGGUUGUCGACCAACGGCACGGCCGGGUAGCCGCGUGCGGCGCGGAUAACCGCUGAAGGCAUCUAAGCGGGAAGCCGUUCCAGGGAUUAGUUCUCCUUCCGGUAAGGGCCCAGGUAGACUACCUGGUCGAUAGACGGCAGGUGCAAGGACGGCGACGUCCUCAGCCGAGCCGCACUAAUCGCCCGAGCUCUUCCGGA